GACUUCUGGUUUAAUGCACCUGGCCCGCGGCCCACAAGGCCUGUGAGUGCCGGCGCGCGUUUACCAUCCUUCCAGCAACGGCUACCCUUAACUGGGCGGCUGGAACUGCAACGGCUACCCUUAACUGGGCGGCUGGAACUGGAUCUUUUACUUUGAAAAAAUUCGCGUGUUUAAAGCAGGCGUUUGCUCUGAAUACAUUAGCAUGGAAUAAUAAUCUAGGACUUCGGUUCUAUUUUGUUGGUUUCUAGAAUGAAGGAAUGAUUGAGAGGGAUAGUUGGGGGUGCUAGUAUUGGCCGGUCAGAGGUGAAAUUCUUGGAUUCGGUCAAAACUAACUUAUGCGAAAGCAUU
rnacentral:rRNA from 1 species